UAAAUAUUAAAUUUAAAAAUUGGAAUUCAAAUCAAAAUGUAGUAUAUUUAA
rnacentral:tRNA from 1 species